rnacentral:rRNA from 1 species
GAAAGCCCGCUCCGCAAAUUGUUGGGUAAAGCCCCGAAACAAGUGUAACCCUUGCCCAAUGUUUCAAGCACGCAAUGGUGGGAACCCAAGGAAAAGCUUCCGGUAUAAAACCGAGGAAAGGUGGGAUUAACGUAAGGUAAUAAUGGGCCCUUACGGCCUGGGCUACACACGUGCUACAAUGGUCGGUACAAAGGGUUGCCAAGCCGCGAGGUGGAGCUAAUCCCAUAAAACCGAUCGUAGUCCGGAUCGCAGUCUGCAACUCGACUGCGUGAAGUCGGAAUCGCUAGUAAUCGUGAAUCAGAAUGCCACGGUGAAUAUACGUUCCCGGGCCUUGUACACUACCGCCCGUCACACCAUGGGAGUGGGUCGCUCCAGAAGUAGCUAGUCUAACCUUCGGGGGGACGGUUACCACGGAGUGAUUCAUGACUGGGGUGAAGUCGUAACAAGGUAGUCCGUAGGUGAACCUGCGGA